rnacentral:lncRNA from 1 species
GAAAAAAGAAAAAGCAGAUGUUGAUGAUUUAACUGGUAAAGGCGGGCAAAUACAGGCAUCUUUAGGCAAAGCUAAAUUUGACCAACAAAUGUCCAAAGAACAGGUAACUAUCUUCAUUGGGUUGGCAGGCAAAUACAGACAGCUUUCAUAAGUUUCAUCAACAAGUGUAUUCAGAACAAGUAAAUUUAUUGGGAUAGCGGCCAAAUACAGGCAGACAUUAUUGCGAUACAUACUUUAUUAAACC